AAAUUUAGGAUAAUUUUAAACCAGGAGCCUUCAAAGCCCCAAAAAAGAGACCACACCCUCUUAAUUUCU
rnacentral:tRNA from 1 species